CAAGAUGUCUUAAACAUCCUAAUUGUCACCAGGGACUGGAUUGUUCCUUAACUAAUUGUUUAGAUCGGCUAAUGUACAUCCAUCAUCCACAGAGGGCAGGCAGUCCCAAGCAUCCUGCAAUCUGGAUAGAACUCCUAUCCUGACUUUAAACACAAUUGUUUGGGUGAUGAGGAGUCAGCAGACCAAAAAGUCUACCCACGGGUGAAGGCACAAGACAGUGAACUGUGAACUGAGGACCAGCACUGAGUGAGAAAGCCAUUUCCCCGCAUACCAAACCACACAGGUACAGAAGGUCCCUGGGAUUUACAAGCUCUUACAGAGAGGAAUGAAGCGAUGCCUCAGAGCAAAGUCAAUGUGCUUUCCAUGCAAGACAGCAGACAUCCUCUCCUGGCAGUCAUCGAUUUUUGCAAUUUCUCUUUAAUGUUAAGUCCUACAAGCUGUUGGAAAUAAAUAAUCAUGCCUUUUUCUUGGCAUGAAAAUGUCCAUUCAUCCACCAAAUAUUCAAUUUCACUUCCACCAUUAGCAGAUUUUCUUUGUGAGUAAAAAGGUAGCUUCUGUGUCUCUUUAGCUUCAGCUGCAUCCCAGCUG